UCAGCACGGUUUUGAUGUGAGGCUCGUCUCGCCAUUCACACACGGUGGCUUCAGCGAUGCCUUGAAUUUUUUCCAGGGAAGGAGUGUGUUUGAUUCCACACAGUUUCAGACCUCUUGCCAAUGUGUAUUUGAACCAUGGUUUAAACAGUUUUUUCAGCAAUCGGUAGGUGUUUAGGUGUAGAUAGUACUCUUCAGGAUCGAACAAACACGCGUGUUGGAGUUGACUCGGGUGAUCGAUCGCGCAGCCGUGACAGUUGUCCUUCAGAUCUUGUUGGAUAACUCUGUCCAGCAGUUCCCCCGUAACAGCACGUAUGAUGGUUAGAACAGUGUUGGUUAUACACCCGUCGGCUUCAUCGUUCGUUGUCAGAUAGGUCAGAUUUCUUUUUCCUAGGUUUUCACCGUCUUCAAAACCCGAACUGGUCACAUCAUCAUCAUCAUCAUCAUCAUCAGCAGCAGCAUACAGGGUUGCAUCAGAGGUGUAGAAAACGGGGUUGAUUUCACAAGACAUAUUGCUGGCUUUCACCGUCUUCAAAACCCGAACUGGUCACAUCAUCAUCAUCAUCAUCAGCAGCAGCAUACAGGGUUGCAUCAGAGGUGUAGAAAACGGGGUUGAUUUCACAAGACAUAUUGCUGGUUGACGUUCAGAAUACUUUGGCUCGAUAUGUAAUCAGACUCAUUUAUAUAGCGUGUGGGAGGAGUCUUGGGGAGGUGGAGUUUCUGAUCAAGAAUAGUAUAUUGACGAUCUCAGAAUAAGACUUCUUCUAGCCUUUUUUUUUAUUUGCAUCAUUUCUUUGUCUCUUCCAGUUUUUUGGAAUAAUUCAUCGAUUUGCCGGAAGUAGCGUUGCAGAUCGUGCCAGCUGGUUCGGUCAUACCUCACUUCACAAUUCUCUUUGUUAUCAGGGGCGUUGUCACCGGUUAAUACAGCAGCACAGUGCAGUGAAACUUGGUUCUUGGAGAAAUUUGUUGCUCUGAUACAGUAUUUGCAUUGAAGAGACGUACUGUUCCAUU
ensembl:lncRNA